rnacentral:rRNA from 1 species
UAGGGAAUAUUGCUCAAUGGGGGAAACCCUGAAGCAGCAACGCCGCGUGAGUGAUGAAGGCCUUCGGGUCGUAAAGCUCUGUUGUACGGGAAGAACGUAGGUAUGGCUAACAUCCAUAUCUAGUGACGGUACCGUAUAAGAAAGGACCGGCUAACUUCGUGCCAGCAGCCGCGGUAAGACGGGGGGUCCAAGCGUUGUUCGGAAUCAUUGGGCGUAAAGCGUGUGCAGGUGGUCUUGUAAGUUGGAUGUGAAAGCCCCGGGCUCAACUCGGGAAGUGCAUUCAAAACUACAAAACUUGAGUAAGGAAGAGGGUCGUGGAAUUCCUGGUGUAGUGGUGAAAUACGUAGAUAUCAGGAGGAACACCGGUGGCGAAGGCGGCGACCUGGUCCUAUACUGACACUCAUACACGAAAGCGUGGGGAUCAAACAG